rnacentral:rRNA from 1 species
CCCUUAGAUGUUCUGGGCCGCACGCGCGCUACACUGAUGCAUUCAACAAGCCUAGCCUUGACCGAGAGGUCCGGGUAAUCUUUGAAACUGCAUCGUGAUGGGGCUAGAUUAUUGCAAUUAUUAAUCUUCAACGAGGAAUGCCUAGUAAGCGUGAUUCAUCAAAUCGCGUUGAUUACGUCCCUGCCCUUUGUACACACCGCCCGUCGCUCCUACCGAUUGAAUGUGUUGGUGAGGAGCUCGGAUUGGCAGCAGCUGGUGGUUCGCCACCGGCUAUUGCUGAGAAGUCCUCCAAACCGCCCCAUUUAGAGGAAGGAGAAGUCGUAACA